rnacentral:tRNA from 1 species
UGGAAUGUAGCUCAGUGGUAGAGCACUUGUCUACCAUGUACGAGACCCUGUGUUCAUUCCCCAGUACUUCAA